rnacentral:rRNA from 1 species
GAUGAACGCUGGCGGCGUGCCUAAUACAUGCAAGUCGAGCGAACGGACGAGAAGCUUGCUUUUCUGAUGUUAGCGGCGGACGGGUGAGUAACACGUGGAUAACCUACCCAUAAGACUGGGAUAACUUCGGGAAACCGGAGCUAAUACCGGAUAAUAUUUUGAACCGCAUGGUUCAAAAGUGAAAGACGGUCUUGCUGUCACUUAUAGAUGGAUCCGCGCUGCAUUAGCUAGUUGGUAAGGUAACGGCUUACCAAGGCAACGAUGCAUAGCCGACCUGAGAGGGUGAUCGGCCACACUGGAACUGAGACACGGUCCAGACUCCUACGGGAGGCAGCAGUAGGGACUCUUCCGCAAUGGGCGAAAGCCUGACGGAGCAACGCCGCGUGAGUGGUGAAGGUCUUCGGAUCGUAAAACUCUGUUAUUAGGGAAGAACAUAUGUGUAAGUAACUGUGCACAUCUUGACGGUACCUAAUCAGAAAGCCACGGCUAACUACGUG